CUACGACCAUAUCACGUUGAAAACACCGGUUCUCGUCCGAUCAACGAAGUUAAGCAACGUCGAGCUCGGUUAGUACUUGGAUGGGUGACCGCCUGGGAAUACCGGGUGUUGUAG
rnacentral:rRNA from 1 species